GCUCAAGUAGCUUAACGGAUAAAGCAGUGAUCUACGAAAUCGAAGAUUGUAGGUUCGAAUCCUACCUUGGGCU
rnacentral:tRNA from 1 species